rnacentral:rRNA from 1 species
GACGUAGGGCGCGAGCGUUGUCCGGAUUUAUUGGGCGUAAAGAGCUCGUAGGCGGCUUGUCGCGUCGAAUGUGAAAACUCGAGCUCAACCUCGAGACGCCGGUGGAAACCAUCAGACUAGAGUCCGGAAGAGGAGAGUGGAAUUCCUGGUGUAGCGGUGAAAUGCGCAGAUAUCAGGAAGAACACCCGUGGCUAAGGCGGCUCUCUAGUACGGUACUGACGCUGAGACGCGAAAGCGUGGGGAGCGAACAGG